AUAAACCCCCCGGGGACCCAGAGCCCGACCCAGGCUGAACUCCAAUCCCAGUGCUCUGGACCCACCACUGUAGACGAGAGACAGACGGACAGGGGAAGCGAGAAGAUGGGGCCAGUCACCUACUUCAGCCUCUGCCUCCUCGGCUGCCUGAUCUUUAACCCCU